ensembl:lincRNA
GCGUGCGCUCAGCCCAGCGUGAGCGGCACCUGCUAGUCCGGGCUCGCCGAGGAGGCCGCCUCGCCGGGCUCUCACCGCCGCGCCCGCCCGAGCGGCUCAGAGGGCUUCGAGGGCUCCGAGGUCGCCCAGCAGCCGCGGUGGCCCCGCUGCCUGCAAGUCCGCCUGGCUCCGAGUCACGUGUCAGUGCCCGAGGCAGAGACUGAGAAAAAAACGCGCUUCAUUCCUUCUUCCACCGCCAUACUGUAUUUUCCUAAAUCUCAUUUUUAUUCCAACAUUUUACUCCCGCUCGUGGAAGGUUUUUCUGGAAAAAAAAAUGAAGUGCGGUUUGGUUUCCUUGUCAACGGAGGAUGAAGUGAACAGCACAACAGCUCGCAGAGAGCAG